AGAUUCUCCGGUUCGGCGUGGAGGACACGAAGGAGGGCGAGGGAGGGACGUUGUCCUCCAGUUCACGGCUGUCGAGCAGAGAAGUGGGGCCGGUGUGGACACCCUGCCGUUCUCUAAUGGAGAUCUGCUUCGAGUGUUGCGUUUUUCUGAUGUUUCCGGUGUCCUACAGGAGGGCGUGUGGCUGAACAAUGAGGACAGACCGCUCUACACUCUGCGUCUUCGUGUAGACCCUGCUGGGCACGCAGACCCCUUGAUAGGAACUGUACAUCGGAGCGACAUUUCUGUGAAACGAAACAGAUGCACCGACCACACGGAACCGAUCCUGUUUACCUUGCCCGCUGUUACGAGGACCGCGGCUUGCGGGGCAACAUAUAAACACGUUCUCUGCUCUGACCUUCUGUAUUAGAGAAGAGCCGCAUGGAGGGCUGAAGACGUCCUGAGCACCCGAGCACGAGAACACCUCAGCAUCAGAGAUCAGGGAGAAGAGCCACGUUUCCAUCGGACUGGACGGUCCCCUGCUGUCCACCGGCCUCGGCAUCUCUGCUCUCCAGACAUUUAAAGACACUAUCAACG